CCUACGGGUGGCAGCAGUGAGGAAUAUUGGUCAAUGGACGAGAGUCUGAACCAGCCAAGUAGCGUGAAGGAUGACUGCCCUAUGGGUUGUAAACUUCUUUUAUAUGGGAAUAAAACGUUCCACGUGUGGGAUUUUGUAUGUACCUUAUGAAUAAGGAUCGGCUAACUCCGUGCCAGCAGCCGCGGUAAUACGGAGGAUCCGAGCGUUAUCCGGAUUUAUUGGGUUUAAAGGGAGCGUAGGUGGGUUGUUAAGUCAGUUGUGAAAGUUGGCGGCUCAACCGUAGAAUUGCAGUUGAAACUGGCAGUCUUGAGUACAGUAGAGGUAGGCGGAAUGCGUGGUGUAGCGGUGAAAUGCUUAGAUAUCACGAAGAACUCCGAUUGCGAAGGCAGUUCACUGGACUGCAACUGACACUGAGGCUCGAAAGUGUGGGUAUCAAACAGGAUUAGAUACCCUUGUAGUC
rnacentral:rRNA from 1 species